rnacentral:rRNA from 1 species
GACGAACGCUGGCGGCGUGCUUAACACAUGCAAGUCGAACGGAAAGGCCCUGCUUUUGUGGGGUGCUCGAGUGGCGAACGGGUGAGUAACACGUGAGUAACCUGCCCUUGACUUUGGGAUAACUUCAGGAAACUGGGGCUAAUACCGGAUAGGAGCUCCUGCUGCAUGGUGGGGGUUGGAAAGUUUCGGCGGUUGGGGAUGGACUCGCGGCUUAUCAGCUUGUUGGUGGGGGAGUGGCUUACCAAGGCUUUGACGGGUAGCCGGCCUGAGAGGGUGACCGGCGACAUUGGGACUGAGAUACGGCCCAGACUCCUACGGGAGGCAGCAGUGGGGAAUAUUGCACAAUGGGCGGAAGCCUGAUGCAGAAGCGCCGCGUGCGGGAUGACGGCCUUCGGGUUGUAAACCGCUUUCGCCUGUGACGAAGCGUGAGUGACGGUAAUGGGUAAAGAAGCACCGGCUAACUACGUG